UAGACUGAGACUAUCAAAACUGGUUCUCUUUCCUCUAACACGGGCUUCCCCUCUGGUCCUCUCUCAUUCACGUCCGGCUAAGAAUCCAACUGCUACACUUUUGUAACAGACUCUGGUUCUCCACGCGCCCCUCAAUGUAUCUCCACCCACCGCAAUAUUUUUUACAAAAAAACCCAAAUCAUACCAAAAUUCCUCACCAUCAACGACAAUCCUUUGCAUUCUUAGCUACCAAAACCCCCUCUUUCCAUGAAUAAAAACCCUAAUUUUCUCCCACAUUCUUUACAGGGAAUGUCUCUUGACUAUAAUGGACAUGGAUGAUGAUCUCACAAAAGGUGAGAACUUGAUAUGUAUUAGUGUUUACUGUUUAGUUCAUUGCGACUUACUAAUGUAGUGCGGAACAUUAUCUUCACGGAUUUAGACUUCUUACUAUU
rnacentral:lncRNA from 1 species